UAUAUGGUCAUGUGGUACGUAUAGACAUAAUUUUGACAACUGGAAUGGGCUAUUCCAUUUAAUAUCCGUACCCCCCCCCCCUGUCGAGGAUCCCUGGAAUUCUUCAGGGGUAAAGGGUUUUGAGCUUGGAAUUCUUCAGGGGUAAAGUGUUUUGAGCUUGGAAUUCUUCAGGGGUAAAGUGUUUUGAGUUUGGAAUUCUUCAGGGGUAAAUGGUUUUGAGCUUGGAAUUCUUCAGGGGUAAAGGGUUUUUAGCUUGGAAUUCUUCAGGGGUGAAGAGGUUUGAGAUUGAAAUUUUUCAGAGCUUGGAAUUCUUCAGGGGUGAAGGGUUUUGAGCUUGGAAUUCUUCAGGGGUAAAAGGUUUUGAGCUUGAAAUUUUUCAGGGGUAAAGGGUUUUGAGUUUGGAAUUCUUUAGGGGUGAUGGGUUUUGAGUUUGGAAUUCUUCAGGGGUAAAAGGUUUUGAGCUUGGAAUUCUUCAGGGGUAAAGGGUUUUGAGCUUGGAAUUCUUCAGGGGUAAAGAGGUUUGAGAUUGAAAUUUUUCAGAGCUUGGAAUUCUUCAGGGGUGAAGGGUUUUGAGCUUGGAAUUCUUCUGGGGUAAAAGGUUUUGAGCUUGAAAUUCUUCAGGGGUAAAGGGUUUUGAGCUUGGAAUUCUUUAGGGGUGAAGGGUUUUGAGCUUGGAAUUCUUCAGGGGUAAAAGGUUUUGAGCUUGGAAUUCUUCAGGGAUAAAGGGUUUUGAGCUUGGAAUUUUGGAAUUCUUCAGGGGUAAAAGGUUUUGAGCUUGGAAUUCUUCAGGGGUAAAGGGUUUUGAGCUUGGAAUUUUGGAAUUCUUCAGGGGUAAACAGUUUUGAGCUUGGAAUUCUUCAGGGGUAUGACAAUGAAAAACAUGUAUCCUCGACAGGGGGGGGUACGGGUAUUAAAUGGAAUAGCCCAUUUUGAACAUACUAUAGAUGAC